AAAUUGAAGAGUUUGAUCAUGGCUCAGAUUGAACGCUGGCGGCAGGCCUAACACAUGCAAGUCGAACGGUAACAGGAAGCAGCUUGCUGCUUCGCUGACGAGUGGCGGACGGGUGAGUAAUGUCUGGGAAACUGCCUGAUGGAGGGGGAUAACUACUGGAAACGGUGGCUAAUACCGCAUAACGUCGCAAGACCAAAGAGGGGGACCUUCGGGCCUCUUGCCAUCAGAUGUGCCCAGAUGGGAUUAGCUUGUUGGUGAGGUAACGGCUCACCAAGGCGACGAUCCCUAGCUGGUCUGAGAGGAUGACCAGCCACACUGGAACUGAGACACGGUCCAGACUCCUACGGGAGGCAGCAGUGGGGAAUAUUGCACAAUGGGCGCAAGCCUGAUGCAGCCAUGCCGCGUGUAUGAAGAAGGCCUUCGGGUUGUAAAGUACUUUCAGCGGGGAGGAAGGUGUUGUGGUUAAUAACCACAGCAAUUGACGUUACCCGCAGAAGAAGCACCGGCUAACUCCGUGCCAGCAGCCGCGGUAAUACGGAGGGUGCAAGCGUUAAUCGGAAUUACUGGGCGUAAAGCGCACGCAGGCGGUCUGUCAAGUCGGAUGUGAAAUCCCCGGGCUCAACCUGGGAACUGCAUUCGAAACUGGCAGGCUUGAGUCUUGUAGAGGGGGGUAGAAUUCCGGUGUAGCGGUGAAAUGCGUAGAGAUCUGGAGGAAUACCGGUGGCGAAGGCGGCCCCCUGGACAAAGACUGACGCUCAGGUGCGAAAGCGUGGGGAGCAAACAGGAUUAGAUACCCUGGUAGUCCACGCCGUAAACGAUGUCUACUUGGAGGUUGUGCCCUUGAGGCGUGGCUUCCGGAGCUAACGCGUUAAGUAGACCGCCUGGGGAGUACGGCCGCAAGGUUAAAACUCAAAUGAAUUGACGGGGGCCCGCACAAGCGGUGGAGCAUGUGGUUUAAUUCGAUGCAACGCGAAGAACCUUACCUGGUCUUGACAUCCACGGAAGUUUUCAGAGAUGAGAAUGUGCCUUCGGGAACCGUGAGACAGGUGCUGCAUGGCUGUCGUCAGCUCGUGUUGUGAAAUGUUGGGUUAAGUCCCGCAACGAGCGCAACCCUUAUCCUUUGUUGCCAGCGGUUAGGCCGGGAACUCAAAGGAGACUGCCAGUGAUAAACUGGAGGAAGGUGGGGAUGACGUCAAGUCAUCAUGGCCCUUACGACCAGGGCUACACACGUGCUACAAUGGCGCAUACAAAGAGAAGCGACCUCGCGAGAGCAAGCGGACCUCAUAAAGUGCGUCGUAGUCCGGAUUGGAGUCUGCAACUCGACUCCAUGAAGUCGGAAUCGCUAGUAAUCGUGGAUCAGAAUGCCACGGUGAAUACGUUCCCGGGCCUUGUACACACCGCCCGUCACACCAUGGGAGUGGGUUGCAAAAGAAGUAGGUAGCUUAACCUUCGGGAGGGCGCUUACCACUUUGUGAUUCAUGACUGGGGUGAAGUCGUAACAAGGUAACCGUAGGGGAACCUGCGGUUGGAUCACCUCCUUACCUUAAAGAA
rnacentral:rRNA from 1 species